UGCGUGAAGGUGAAGCGUCUGGGAAGGCGUACCGGAGUGGGUGAGAGUCCCGUAACUGUAAGCGUGGCACUGGUGAGGGUUGCCCCAAGUAGCGUGGAACUCGUGGAAUUUCGCGUGAAUCUGGCGGGACCACCCGUCAAGCCUAAAUACUCCUUGGUGACCGAUAGUGUAUUAGUACCGUGAGGGAAUGGUGAAAAGUACCCCGGGAGGGGAGUGAAAUAGUACCUGAAACCGGUCGCAUACAAGCCGUCAGAGCCUUGUGGGGUGAUGGCGUGCCUUUUGAAGAAUGAGCCUGCGAGUUAGUGAUGCGUGGCGAGGUUAACCUGUGUGGGGGAGUCGUAGCGAAAGCGAGUCUGAUAAGGGCGUGAGUCGCGUGUUCUAGACCCGAAGCGGUGUGAUCUAUCCAUGGCCAGGAUGAAGCGUCGGUAAGACGUCAUGGAGGUCCGAACCCACUUCAGUUGAAAAUGGAGGGGAUGAGCUGUGGAUAGGGGUGAAAGGCCAAUCAAACACCGUGAUAGCUGGUUCUCCCCGAAAUGCAUUUAGGUGCAGCGUUGCGUGGUUCUUGUCGGAGGUAGAGCACUGGAUGGUCUAGGGGGCCUAUCAGCUUACCGAAAUCAGCCAAACUCCGAAUGCCGGCAAGUGGAGCGUAGCAGUGAGACGGCGGGGGAUAAGCUUCGUGUUGGGGAGCGAAUCAGUCCAGAUCAUCAGCUAAGGCCCCUAAGUGGUAGCUCAGUGGAAAAGGAUGUGGAGUUGCGCAGACAGCCAGGAGGUUGGCUUGGAAGCAGCCAUCCUUGAAAGAGUGCGUAAUAGCUCACUGGUCAAGUGAUUCCGCGCCGACAAUGUAGCGGGGCUUAAGUUAUCCGCCGAAGCUGUGGCCAAACCCGUUUUGCGGGUUUGGGUAGGGGAGCGUCCUGUACGAGGUGAAGCUGCCGGGUGACCGUGUGGUGGAUUGUGCGGGAGUGAGAAUGCAGGCAUGAGUAGCGAAUGACGGGUGGGAAACCCGUCCGCCGAUUAUCCAAGGGUUCCAGGGUCAAGUUAAUCUGCCCUGGGUGAGUCGGGACCUAAGGCGAGGCCGACAGGCGUAGUCGAUGGAUAACCAGUUGAUAUUCUGGUACCGGCUUGUCACCGUCCGUGUCGAGGUGUGUGAUGCUAAGCGUGCGAGCCUGCCAUUGUGAUGUCUUUGAUGUUGUGGUGGUGUGGUGAGUGUGUGAACCGAUCAUGUAGUAGGCAAGCUGCGGAGGGACGCAGUGAGGUAGCUCAUCCCCGGCGAUGGUUGUCCGGGGCUAAAUGUGUGGACCGUCUGGUAGGUAAAUCCGCUGGGCAUAUGGUUGAGGCAUGAUGGCGAGCCCACGUGUGUGGGUGAGUGAGUGAUCCUGUACUGUCGAGAAAAGCUUCGUGAGCGAGGUGGCUGGUCCGCCCGUACCCUAAUCCGACACUGGUGGAUAGGUAGAGUAUACCGAGGCGAUCGAGAUCAUCAUGGUGAAGGAACUCGGCAAAAUGCCCCCGUAACUUCGGGAUAAGGGGGACCUGAACUGUCAAGGCCUGUACGGCUGGUAGCAGUGAGGGGCGCAGAGACCAGGGGGAAACGACUGUUUACCAAAAACACAGGUCCGUGCGAAGUCGUAAGACGAUGUAUACGGACUGACUCCUGCCCGGUGCUGGAAGGUUAAGGGGAACUGUUAGCGUUGGCGAAGCGGUGAACUUAAGCCCCAGUAAACGGCGGUGGUAACUAUAACCAUCCUAAGGUAGCGAAAUUCCUUGUCGGGUAAGUUCCGACCUGCACGAAUGGAGUAACGAUUUCCCUACUGUCUCCACCAUGAACUCGGUGAAAUUGCAGUACGAGUAAAGAUGCUCGUUACGCGCAGCAGGACGGAAAGACCCCGGGACCUUUACUAUAGUUUGGUAUUGGUGAUUGGGACGACUUGUGUAGGAUAGGUGGGAGACUGUGAAGUGGCCACGCUAGUGGUUGUGGAGUCAUUGUUGAAAUACCACUCUGGUCGUUCUGGUUAUCUAACUUUGGGCCGUGAUCCGGUUCAGGGACAGUGCCUGAUGGGUAGUUUGACUGGGGCGGUCGCCUCCUAAAAGGUAACGGAGGCGCCCAAAGGUUCCCUCAUCCUGGUUGGUAAUCAGGUGUCGAGUGUAAGUGCACAAGGGGGCUUGACUGUGAGACUGACAGGUCGAGCAGGGACGAAAGUCGGGACUAGUGAUCUGACGGUGGCUUGUGGACGCGCCGUCACUCAACGGAUAAAAGGUACCCCGGGGAUAACAGGCUGAUCUGCCCGAGCGUAU
rnacentral:rRNA from 1 species